AACACGUAGGGAGCGAGCGUUGUCCGGAUUCACUGGGCGUAAAGCGCGCGUAGGCGGCCGCGCAAGUCGGAUGUGAAAUCCCGGGGCUCAACCCCGCGAACCGCAUCCGAUACUGCGUGGCUUGAGGCAGGUAGGGGGAGGUGGAAUUCCCGGUGUAGCGGUGAAAUGCGCAGAUAUCGGGAGGAACACCGGUGGCGAAGGCGGCCUCCUGGGCCUGUCCUGACGCUGAGGCGCGAAAGCUAGGGGAGCGAACAGGAUUAGAUACCCUGGUAGUCCUAGCCGUAAACGUUGGGCGCUAGGUGUGGGCGGCGAUCGACCCCGUCCGUGCCGAAGCUAACGCAUUAAGCGCCCCGCCUGGGGAGUACGGCCGCAAGGCU
rnacentral:rRNA from 1 species